rnacentral:rRNA from 1 species
GAUGAACGCUGGCGGCGUGCCUAAUACAUGCAAGUCGAGCGAACAGACGAGGAGUUUGCUCCUCUGACGUUAGCGGCGGACGGGUGAGUAACACGUGGAUAACCUACCUAUAAGACUGGGAUAACUUCGGGAAAGCGGAGAUAACACCGGAUAAUAUAUUGAACCGCAUGGUUCAAUAGAGAAAGACGGUUUUGCUGGCACUAAUAGAUGGUUCCGGGCCGGAUUAGCUAGUUGGUAAGGUAACGGCUUACCAAGGCUACGAUGCGUAGCCGACCUGAGAGGGUGAUCGGCCACACUGGAACUGAGACACGGUCCAGACUCCUACGGGAGGCAGCAGUAGGGAAUCUUCGGCAAUGGGCGAAAGCCUGACGCAGCAACGCCGCGUGUGUGAUGAAGGUCUUCGGAUCGUAAAGCUCUGUUAUUAGGGAAGAACAGAUGUGUAAGUAAAUAUGCACGUCUUGACGGUACCUAAUCAAAAAGCCCCGGCUAACUACGUG